GAUCCUGGCUCAGGAUGAACGCUAGCGGCAGGCUUAACACAUGCAAGUCGAGGGGUAUUGGUUUUCGGACCAAGAGACCGGCGCACGGGUGCGUAACGCGUAUGCAAUCUACCUUUUGCAGAGGGAUAGCCCAGAGAAAUUUGGAUUAAUACCUCAUAGUAUAGUACUUUGGCAUCAAGGAACUAUUAAAGUCACAACGGCAAAAGAUGAGCAUGCGUCCCAUUAGCUAGUUGGUAAGGUAACGGCUUACCAAGGCUACGAUGGGUAGGGGUCCUGAGAGGGAGAUCCCCCACACUGGUACUGAGACACGGACCAGACUCCUACGGGAGGCAGCAGUGAGGAGUAUUGGGCAAUGGGCGCAAGCCUGAUCCAGCCAUGCCGCGUGCAGGAUGACGGUCCUAUGGAUUGUAAACUGCUUUAUACAGGAAGAAACACUCCGACGUGUCGGAGCUUGACGGUACUGUAAGAAUAAGGAUCGGCUAACUCCGUG
rnacentral:rRNA from 1 species